rnacentral:lncRNA from 1 species
UUACAAAAGACCCCGGCUGUGCCAGAAACCAUGCUUUACUGCCCCUGACAUUCAUGCUUCUGUGGAUCUCUGGUUUCAAGCCGGCUGGAUUUCAUCAGCAUCACAGGCUGUUGUCUAGGCUACGGAUACAAGCAAGGGCUUGGAUUUCUGUUUUGCUGGGUUACCUUCCCUCCAAUGCAAGUACCCAUAAGGGAUUGCUCUGCUGAGCUCCAACCUCGUCUGCA